rnacentral:lncRNA from 1 species
CGCUGCCUGUCACACCGACCCGUGGGACAGCACUUCAGCGUGCUCGGGCAGCGCCACAAAAGAAGAUUAAAGGACAUGGUCCUUUACGAUGUCAUUGAACAGGCCAUUAGGGGCAACGAUUCCUAUGACACUGCGACAUCUUACUCCAUUCGCAAAGCAGCUGCUGCCUGGCUCAAGAACUGUCCUUCAAGGAUAAUGGCUGCCAAAAGGAAGCUUGGUGAGGACGCUAACGACUCAAGCUCCUAUGAUUAGGCAUAUCCGAGGCCAGAUUAUACCAUCCUGUGGCAAAGCGACAACUGUGUUAUUGUUUCUCAGAGCUCUGACAGUGUUCGUUUGCAUAAGUUUUGGUUUGCAUCAGACUAGUCUGUUCAUUAAUUUUUACAGGGGCUCCUCAGCCUGUAUAGAGGCAAGCGUGGAGCAUUGCAUUUGUAUGAAGGAUCGAGGCAUCCUCGCAAAUUGUGAGCUUUU